rnacentral:tRNA from 3 species
GGAAGCUUGGCAGAGUGGUUGAAUGCAGCAGUCUUGAAAACUGCCGAGGAUGCGAGUCCUCCGUGAGUUCGAAUCUCACAGCUUCCGCCA